ACGANNUAGCUCAGUUGGUUAGAGCGCCGGCCUGUCACGCCGGAGGUCGCGAGUUCAAGUCUCGUCACUCCCGCCA
rnacentral:tRNA from 1 species